rnacentral:rRNA from 1 species
CGCAGCCGCGGGAAUACAGAGGGUGCGAGCGUUAAUCGGAUUUACUGGGCGUAAAGCGUGCGUAGGCGGCUUUUUAAGUCGGAUGUGAAAUCCCUGAGCUUAACUUAGGAAUUGCAUUCGAUACUGGGAAGCUAGAGUAUGGGAGAGGAUGGUAGAAUUCCAGGUGUAGCGGUGAAAUGCGUAGAGAUCUGGAGGAAUACCGAUGGCGAAGGCAGCCAUCUGGCCUAAUACUGACGCUGAGGUACGAAAGCAUGGGGAGCAAACAGGAUUAGAUACCCCAGUAGUCCCUGUCUCUUAUACC